rnacentral:lncRNA from 1 species
CAAAUGUUGUCAGUGAAUAUAUACCAAUUGGCUAUCUAAACCUUGAAACAAAACCAUGGCAUGAGGAAUACACUGUAAAUUUGUUUUUGAUGUAAAACAAGACAGUAAAACAAUAGAUGCAGCAUCAAUGAAAGGAGGUGUCAAUGAGGCAGCAACCGGUGAACCCAAUGACAUACAUUACCAAAGUAAGACAUCAACAUGAUUAAGAGGACAUCUUGUUGACUUAAACAAAAAUUGAGAAUAAAAGUACCAAAAGGUCAACAUUAUACAAGCAAGAACAUGCGGUAUGAAUACCAAUGAGACAACUAUCCACCCCAAGUUCAAAGGAGGUGGAUGAGAGCAAGUAUAGGCAACUGCAUGUAUGGCCUUUAACAAUGAUAAAAAUUCAUGCAUAAUUUUGAUAGAGAAUACAGACAGGGAAUGUGUCAAAGAGACAUUAACCCGACAAGAGAGCAGGAAACAACCCAAUGCCACCAAUGGGUCGUGUCAUCACCACAGCGAGAUAAUCUCGCAUCCCGUAGCGGAAUUCAGCUUGCACCAAGACAUUUCUAAAUGUAUAUUUCUAUAUGAUUUAUGUUUUUUUCCAAACAUUUUGUUUUUCAUAUAUGCUAUGCUGGUGACCAAAAAUUAAUAUGAUUUUAACAUUUACUUUAUUUUGUAGACAAACCAAUGAUGAUUUCGGGACACAGUUGUUAUGUGUAAAAUGUGAAGAAUUAAAAAAAACUAUAUAAAUAUUCGAAUUUUCAUUGUAUCAUAAACAGCUUCAAUUUUAUAAGAAAAAAGAUUCAAAGAUUUUUUUUUAAUUACUGCAGCAGCAAUCAUUAUAAAUAAAUCACAGUAUCAAAAAUGUUGGGUUAACAUUAUUUUGACAGCAACCACAAAGCGAAAAAAGGUACACAGACAUAUAUUAAGUAAAUGAAACAAACAUCAAGAAACACAUUGUUGUCAGAUAUGUCGGAG